rnacentral:rRNA from 1 species
CGGCGUUAAUAUAUGACCCGAUUAGCAGCUUCCGGGAAACCAAAGUUUUUCGUUUCCGGGGGAAGUAUGGUUGCAAAGCUGAAACUUAAAGGAAUUGACGGAAGGGCACCACCAGGAGUGGAGCCUGCGGCUUAAUUUGACUCAACACGGGAAAACUCACCCGGCCCGGACACCGUAAGGAUUGACAGACUGAGAGCUCUUUCUUAAUUCGGUGGGUGGUGGUGCAUGGCCGUUCUUAGUUGGUGGAGCGAUUUGUCUGGUUAAUUCCGAUAACGAACGAGACUCUGGCCUAUUAAAUAGACGAUAUAUUUAAAAGUAUAUCGCGCUUCUUAGAGGGACAAGCGGCGUCUAGCCGCAUGAAAUAGAGCAAUAACAGGUCUGUGAUGCCCUUAGAUGUCCGGGGCUGCACGCGCGCUACACUGAAAGAAUCAGUGUGCGUUACGCCUAGUUCGGAAGAACCGGGUAACCCAAGUAAAUUCUUUCGUGCUUGGGAUAGGGAAUUGCAAUUAUUUCCCUUAAACGAGGAAUUCCCAGUAAAUGCGGGUCAUAAGCUCGCGUUGAUUACGUC